UCUGGUUCUCGUAAUGUCAGUCAUGAUUAGCUCUAACAAACAUACAACAGCCUUUUGGGCUGCUUCGCAAGGCGGCCGUGUGGAGGUGGAGGUGGCAUUUGUUCUCAAUCACGUGGGAUUUUGAGGACUGGCUGCUUUGCAUCAUGCAGGGCGAGCAGCACUGCUGCGCUCACACGGCCGGCGGUGCUGUGCAGUGCAAUGCAGCGCAGUGUGAUGCUGUGCAACAUGGUGCAGCGUGGUGUGAUGGGGUGCAAUGCAUUGCAGUGGAGUGUGGUGGAGUGCAAUGUGCUGCAGUGUGGCAUGAUCUGGUGCAAUGCAAUGCAAUGCAGCGUGGCCUGAUGCAGUGCAAUGCGGUGCCAUGCAGUGCCGUGUGAUGUGAUGAUGUGCAGUGUGGUUUGAGGCAGGGCAAUGUGAUGCAGUGUGGACUGUUGCUGUGCAAUGUGCUGCAGCAUGGUGUGAUGUGGUGCAGUGUAGGGCAGUGUGCUCUGAUGCUGUGCAAUGAAGUGCCAUGCAGUGUAGUGUGGUGCAGUGUAGCAUGAUGCAGUGCAAUGUGGUGCAGUGUGGUGUGAUGUGGUGCAAUGCAGUGCAGAGUUGGCCUGGUGCAGUGCAAUAUGGUGCCGUGCAGUGCAGUAUGAUGUGAUGCUGUGCAGUGUGGUCUGAUGCAGUGCAGUGUGGUGCGUUGUGACGUGAUGUGCAAUGUGGUGCAGCCUGCCAUGAUGUGGUGCAGUGCAGUCUAUAGUGUGAUGCGGUGCCACACAGCGCAGUGUGAUGUCAUGCAGUGCAGUGGGGUCUGAUGCAAUGCAGUGUGGUACAGUGUCGUGUGAUGCAGUGCAAUGCAGUGCAGUGUGCUGUGAUGAAGUGCAGUGCAAUGCAGUGUGCUGUGAUGAAGUGCAGUGCAAUGCAGGGCUGCCAAUCCAUGGCUGGGGGCAGUGUGCAGCGGGGGCAUGGUGUGGACAGCUCAGGGAGAUGCACUGCAGUUCCCCCCACCAUGCAGUAAUCCAGUUUUCCAGAGCAAAUUGGAUGUUGACGAAACAACUUUAUUUUCACCCAAACAAUUUUGCUCUUCGUGGAAACUAUUCGUGCUCGGCGUGCAGCCCUUCGCACAGACAGCUGCGAGGAGCUGCUCUGCUCACGCCAGGGCUGCAGGUGCUGCGUCCCAUCGGUCUGCCCUUAUGGGGUGGGAGGGAUGCAGGGCACCACAGGCACCCGCCCCCAGCAGCAGCCCUGUCUGCACGGGGCCACUCCGAGGUGGGGAUGCAGCACAGGACGGCUAUAAAUCAGGAGGUGCACUGCGGUGCAGCCCGCAGGCAGUGCUGUGCGUGACCUGCAGCCGCGGGUUGGGCACGGAUGCACAGAUGCUGCAGAUUAACGAAACGAAGAGCUGGGAGGUUUCUGCUGAAGACAUUUUUCCGUUCAUGAGGACAUGGGGUGGAGAGGGUGGAACGUGGUGGGGGGGCGGCUGCUGUCAGGAACAACAAAAGGGAGGAGGGGGGAGGGCAGCGAGAGGGAGAGAUUUUUGAUUCAUGGUCAAAAAUUACCCAAACUUUAUUGCCAAAAUGUCUACAUUUUUAUGCGCUUAAGCACAGUGAGUUAUGGAAACCUUAAAACAAUGGAAUGAUCUCCUUCAUUGCGCUCCGUUUGUUCAAAGUAACCACUCCUCUUCCCAGGGUGGAAUCUCUUUUUCCUUUUUAUUGACUUACAAAAAAUGUCUCUGCUAUCAGCACCGGCCGUGUGCGUGUCAUAAAUAGCGGGGUGGGACGCGGGGCUCUGGGGGGAAGGGGGUUAAACCUCUCUCUGCCCCAACCCUUCCUCGAGAAAGGUUUUUAUGGCAUUGAUUUGGCACAUCCUCGACGUGAACCUGCCUGAACGAGAGGGGCUGCAAAUUCCUUGAAGCGGAUCCAACACACGGCGCCGCGGUUCCCUCACUGCGGGAGUCCCUCCUCUGCCAGGCAUGCAGCUCUCCCAGCAGUCUGCCGAAGCUGCAGCGCUGGGAGGGGCUGUGGGGCUGCAAGGCUGUGGGGCUGCAAGGCUGCGGGGCUGUAAGGUGUGGGGUUGCGUGACUGCAGGGCUUCGAGCAUGCAGGGGUGUGGGGUUGCAGGGUGUGCUGAGGGCUCUGCUGCCAGGUGAGGGCUGCAGAGCUGAGGCAUGCCCUGGCUAUUGCAGCCCUUCACAAGCAGAGGGAUACAGGCAGUUGUGGGGGGGUUUUUUUGCAUCGUCCUGCAGCAGGAGGAUGCCCUGCAACCAUCCCUGCACUGACCAUUGCGCUGGGCCUCCUGGGAAGCUGCAGCUCCACGUGCAAGAGCAAGGAGAGCAACGUGCAAAGAGCUUUUCUCAGCCCCCCCCCCCCAUCCCACCCAGCAGAGGUUCCUCUGCUCCUUGGCUAUGCAGUGCCUGCCUUUGCAGUGCUGUGAACCAGGCAGGACAGAGCUGGGAUGCACGGGGCUCUGCUCAGUGCCCACAGCAGCACUGCAGCCGGGGGGGGGGGGGGAGGGGGGACGACGGCCCACAGCCCCCACUCUGCACCAGAGGGGAAAACUGCACGAGCCCCAGAAAAAUGUCUGCAGCCCUAUAAACUGACACCACUGUUUAUAAUAUUCCUAAGUGCUGUUGCGUGAUGAGAGCGGUUCUCCGACGAGGAAAAUUUACUUUUUUUCCUUCUUUUUUUUUUCUCCUUUUUCUUUUUUUUUAAAUAAAGUUAGAAAGCUGCGAGUCCCACAGAAGAUGUUUUGGCUCUCCUUCAGGGUUUGUUUGUUUUUGCUGUUUGCUGUAAGUAACAACUGAGGGCCAUUUGCUGGCGAUAAUGUUACAGCCGCAGCGCAGCGGUGGGAACUGCUGACAGUCAGAAGUUGUUGACCUCCUGGGUAAAAUGUAUCUGCACACAUCUCACAUCCCGGGGCAUGAAACCAUCACUUUGUCAUUGCUUUGUGUGUGGAAAGGCUCCUCCAUGUGAACCCGGCACUUUGCUGCAGUCCCAGUUUGUUGAUAUUGAGCUAAAAACAAACAAGCAAGGAAAGUGGGCAGCUACAGCAAUCCCCUGAGCUGCAGACGUAGCAGGGAGGUGAGGAUGGGGAAUGGGGAGAUGAGGGUAAGUAAGGAGCAGGGAUGGGAGGAUGGAGCGGGGGGAUGAGGAUGGUGAGCAGAGAGAUGAGGAUGGGGAGCAGGGAGAUGAUGGGGAGUGGGGAGAGGAGGACGGAGAGCAGGGAUAUGAAUGUGGGGAGCAGGGAGAUGAUGGGGAGUGGGGAGAGGAGGACAAGGAGCGUGGACAUGAGGAUGGGAAGUGGGGACAUGAACAUGGGGAGCAGGGAGAGGAGGAUGGAGAGCGGAGAGAUGAGGACAGGGAACAGGGAGACAAGGAUGGGGAGUGGGGACAUCAGGCCAGGAAGCAGGGACGUGAGGAUGGGAAGAAGGGACGUGAGGGCAGCAAGCAAGGAGACGAGGAUUGGGCACCAUGUGUCAUUUCCCCUCUGUCUGUACCAUUGGAAAACGGGAAUUGAGGCUUAGAAAAAUGCAUUCC
ensembl:lncRNA